rnacentral:rRNA from 1 species
CUCUGUCACCGUGAUCAUCCCCAGUGUCAUCUGAUUUUGGAGGCUAAGCAGAGUCAGGCCUGGCUAGUACUUGGGUGAGCAACGCCCACGGAAUGCCAGGGAUCUCAGGGU